AUGCCAUCCUCCCAGAACGGGAGGAGAGGCGUGUCACGCAUGGUGCGGCCAAGUGAUCGGCGACGUGCAACGAUGGCGGUUCGGGUGGCAGCCCCGUCUCCGGCGGCACUAGUCUUUGCACUUGCGGUUGUGCUCGCCGUGGUGAGUGCCGACGGCGACUCCGGCCAUGCAAGCUUCCGCGAGGCGUCGAGGGUUUCGGUGGUAGGUUGCGUGUGCGUGCCGUCCACGGUGUCACUGGAAGGCUGCGCAUGCCCGCCAACACCGCCACCGCCACCGCCACCUCCCGCAUGCCCGCCACCGCCUCCAUCUCCACCACCGCCGUGCCCGCCGCCACCUCCCGCAUGCCCGCCACCGCCUCCAUCUCCACCACCGCCGUGCCCGCCGCCACCUCCGGCGUGCCCGCCGUCGCCACCUCCGGAGCCGACGCCGUGGGAUUUCGAAAACGAGAAGUUGAGGCGGCUGUACCCGGUGAUCCAGGCGUUCAAGCAGACCAUCACGAGCGACCCGAUGAACGUGACGGCGACGUGGGUGGGCAGCAAGAUCUGCGACAGCUCUAAAGGCGGCAGCUCGUACAAGGGCUUCUACUGCGACACCCCGCCGGACGACGCCAACAAGACGCUCACCGUGGCCUCCAUCGACUUCAACGGCUUCCACCUCUGCGCGCCCACGCUGGCCGGCUUCAUCGACGCCUUCCCGGACCUCGCACUCUUCCACGCCAACUCCAACAACUUCUCCGGCGUCCUCCCGGACCUCACCUCCCUCCGCUACUUCUACGAGCUCGACCUCUCCAACAACGCCUUCUCGGGAGCCUUCCCGGCCGCCGUGCCGCCGCUCGGCCGCCUCGCCUUCCUCGACCUCCGCUUCAACGGCUUCGCCGGGGAGGUGCCGCCCUCCGUCUUCGGCAUCUCCGUCGAGGCGCUCUUCCUCAACAACAACGCCUUCACCGGCGUCAUCCCGGAGAGCACCUUCGGCACCAGCAGGGCCGAGUACAUCGUCGUCGCCAACAACAGGUUCACAGGCCCCAUCCCGCGCACCAUCUUCAACGCCUCCGGCACGCUCUCCGAGAUCCUCUUCCUCAACAACGACCUCUCCGGCUGCCUCCCCUACGAGAUCGGCCUCGUGGAAGGGCUCACGGUGUUCGACGCCGGCGGCAACGAGAUCCGCGGCCCCAUCCCGCUCUCCUUCGGCUGCCUCGCCGACGUCGAGGAGCUCAACCUCGCCCGGAACCAGCUCUACGGCCACGUCCCCGACGUGCUCUGUCUGCUCGCCAAGACGGGGAAGCUCACCAACCUCUCGCUCUCCGACAACUACUUCCACUCCGUGGGGUACCACUGCAUGGAGCUGGUGAGGAGCCGCGUGCUGGACGUCCGGCGGAACUGCAUCCUCGGCUUCCCCGGCCAGCGGCCGCACAUCGAGUGCGCCAUGUUCUACGCCGACCCCACCAAGCACUGCCCCUUCAUCCCGCACAUACCCUGCGACCUCCCGGGGUUCAAGCCGCACGCCACCGCAGCGUUGCCGGCGGGGGAGAGCGCUGUGCAUGGCUACGGCGAGGACGGGAGUGUGGCCCUGGGAAAACUACCGACGUCGGGAUAG
rnacentral:rRNA from 1 species